AGGGCCCAGGCGCCGGCGAUGGCGGUCGAGCGGCGGCCGCCAUUUUGUGUGUGUGGAGGCCGGCUCCGGGCCUCGCUGCCCGCCGCGGAGGCGGGGGUGCGCGGCGCGGCGAGGCCGAUGGACCAAAAGCUGCCAGCUUUUCGGCGAUGGCCUCGUCGGUGAGCGCCGUAAAACCUCUUCCGCGUGCAGGGCUCACUGUGCCACAGAUUCUCCUCUUUUUUUUUUUUUUUUUUAACAAAAUGAUGCUUACCUUGUGACACAAGAGAAUCACCAGGAUAUCCCAAACAGCUGUGUAAGUAUAUCCUCAGAAUGUAAAGCUAACAAAAUUAAAUGCAAUUAGUGCAAGUUAAGUUGUAGGCAGGACAAUAGUGUUAUUGUCAGCACCAUGUCCCUGCUUUAUAAAACCUGGAACAUCAAAUGGCUGGGUUUAACAGACUUCAGGACCUAAUUGCCAUGCCAGUGAGUACCAGCAACCUGCUCCUUGAAACUAAUUCAGACCAUGAGGGAAGGCAAGCUGCACGUUCUCUUCAGCCGGUGUUAAGGGGCAGGAUUCGGGUUUCACUUCACACCAAUGUUGCGGCACUAACGGGCUGUUUAAGAUGGACUACUUCCUUUUUUUUUAUUUUCUUGCAGCCAGCAGUGUUUUCAGGGAACUGGUCUGUCCGUAUGCCGCUUCGCCCCACAUCGAAGAAGAAUGGCCGUAACUGCUGGUGGGAUGAUUUAGUCCCCUUUUCUUUUGUAUUAGUGCAAUAAUUUCUACCUCUCCCCAGGACAGAAAUGCAGUCUUUUCCUCAGCAAGUGGGAAACCCUUUAGCCAAGAGGGUCUCUAUAUGCCCCGUGUUUCUGAGGCUGCUUGCUGCAAAGCUGGCGUCGGUGGUGUCCUCCUGCAGCCAGCAGAGUGGCAGUGAGCCUCUUCCUACCGCUCGGCCCCACAGUCGGGACAAGCAGGAGCUCCAACAGGCAGAUUCCUGCAGCCACGGGCUCUGCGCCGAGGUGCAGCCCGUUCAGGGAGAUCGGAGGGGUGCUGCUGUUCCAGCGGCAUUCCUGGGCUCACUGGAGGAGCCGGAAUAAAGGCCAGUUGGCUCAAACAACCCAGGAAAGACCAAAGUGUGGCAGCGAGAGAAGGGAUGUGCUUCAAAGGUUUGGCAGGCGAGGCUGCCUUGCCCUCCAGGGAGGUACUUGCCCUCAACUAGUUAAGACAGCGCGCUGCCUUCUUGUCAGGAGGGACUAAUUGCUGCCCUUUGAUACCACAUCACAGCCAGCUCUGCGGCACCUUUAUCUCUGACGAUCUCUAAGAUUUUAUUUGUUCCUCUCAAACAGUUGAGCUGCAGUCGAGCUCGUCUCCUCCGAACCAACUCUGAGCCAGGCUCCAGAGCUCACGGGGAGGCUCAAGCAGGCGAGCUCUCCCCUUGGCCGGGAAGGCGAAGUGGGGACGAGCUCCCUGUCUGUUACUGAUCCACUCGGAGGUUUCAAAGGUCCCCAAAUGCCACCGGUCUGCGUCUGCCAGGAGGUUUGGAUGCAGGAGCUGGAACGAGCCUAUGCUGGGAGACCUGCCGUUCUUAAACACCUUCUAAAGUGGGGAUCAGAGGUAGCCUGGUUCGUAUGAAGACUUGUUCUCAUUAGAACAGAGCACAGAAUAAAGUAGAAAAAGUUGGUGGAGUCAAAGCAGGUUGGAGAGUUGAUCGUUAUGGUAUUUUGUUUUGGGGUUUUUUUAAAAGUUCUAUUUGUUAAAGCAUUUGCAGAUAAAUGAUUUAUUCUUAGGAGUUAAAUGUAACAAGUUUGGGGUAAGUAGAUGGAGGGCAAACCCUGUGGGUGUGCUAAACUUGGUAACAGCCAUCACUCUGUAACAACCACCGUGCUACAUUUGACUAAUCAUAUUUCCUUGCAUUAAGUUUUUCACAUUCACCAGGUGCUAAGAACUACAUUUCAUGGUACUUGUGAAGUGUAGCACCCACUGCCGGAGUUAGUGCCAUCGGACACGCGCCUGCGGUUGUCCUGCCCCAGAAGAAAACGAGACUCACGGGCAGCACAGAUACAGAGAGGGAAUCGCUCAUUCGGGGAAAUAAAUCGCUGGAAAGAAGCGCCCGGGAUGAACGAGCAGGACGCAGGGUUCGGCGCCGCUCUUCCCAGCCAGCGAGAUCCUGAUUAACUCGUUACCUCUCGCCGUGCCUUGCCGCCGGUCUGGCUCGGGGCGGCGCGGCGGUGCCUCCCUCCGCAGCCGCACCGGGCGCUGGCUCUGCCGGAUGAUGUCAUGGCAGAGGGGAAGGGAGCGCGGGUGGCUACUGGGCUCUUGAGUGAGUAGCCCUCGAAUAGUUUCCUUUUUUCCUGCCCGUCGAUGCCAGCGUACACCCAAGGGCAGGCUGCUUUUUGCCAGGCUCCUGUUAAAAACCUGGUGUGAUCCCUAAAGCCAAGUCCCUCAGCCGCAGCCACUUUAAACCCCCGAUUUUGUACAAACCCGCCUGCGCUGCCCACCCUGAGCAGAGCAGUGCUGGGGGCACCUUUGUCUCCUCCUCCCCCACAUCCAGCCCCCUCUUAUUUUUUCAUAUAAGGCCAUUUUUCCCUCCUGCUGUAGCCUGAGGCAGGGGGUUCCCCCAGCUGAUCCCCUGGCUCUCCAGGUACAAGUUUCAUUAACACACACUCCCAGUUCUGAGCCCGGUUGCCAUUGAUUACACCACACCACAAACCAGAGCAGACUCUGGCCCCUCUAUUACUUUGCCCUUUGUUUUACCUGUUUUCCCUUCAAAAAACCCCACAGCUGCCUGGAGCUUCUCCUGCUUUUUUUCUUCUCCUUCCCCUCUCAGGUACAGCAGCAGGGAAUGAAAAGGUUGAGCUGUCACAUUCACCUUCCACUGAUCCCUCCUCGUCAGCCAUUUCAGAGGCCAAGUGCUGACUAUGAAAACUUUUCCCUGGGCUGCUCCAAAACUUUUAAGUUUUUUCCCCUCACUCGUAGCUUAGAAGUGUAUUUUUAGGCAGUUUUUGCCCAGAUCUCAGUUAACUGACCUGGGAGGAAAGGGAGUUAAGUUUAAGCAAGCCUUUAGGCAAAGAAACAUACUUUGGCUUAAUAGGUUAGAGAGGCAUCAGCAGCAUCCAUCAUACACAUUAAGAGCUGUUAUCGCUUUUUCCAGGUAUUUUUAACCAUUGCAGCUGAUUGAGCAGACUUAGAAUUUAAAAUAAGCAGGGGAAAAAAAAAAAAUAACAAAAAGGGUUAAGUGAGAAACUACUGCUAGUUUUAAUCAGACACCACCAUAGACCAGUUAUAACA